UACGUAGGGGGGCUAGCGUUGUCCGGAAUCAUUGGGCGUAAAGCGCGUGUAGGCGGUCCGGUAAGUCCGCUGUGAAAGUCGAGGGCUCAACCCUCGAAUGCCGGUGGAUACUGUCGGGCUUGAGUACGGGAGAGGCGAGUGGAAUUCCUGGUGUAGCGGUGAAAUGCGUAGAGAUCGGGAGGAACACCAGAGGCGAAGGCGGCGACCUGGACAGGUACUGACACUCAACUACGGAAAGCGCGGGGAGCAAACAGG
rnacentral:rRNA from 1 species